UACGUAGGGAGCAAGCGUUGUCCGGAUUUAUUGGGCGUAAAGAGCUCGUAGGCGGCUUAGCAAGUCAGGUGUGAAACCUCCAGGCUCAACCUGGAGACGCCACUUGAUACUGCUAUGGCUUGAGUUUGGUAGGGGAAGACGGAAUUCCUGGUGUAGCGGUGAAAUGCGCAGAUAUCAGAGAGGAACACCGAUGGCGAAGGCAGUCUUCUGGGCCAAAACUGACGCUGAGGAGCGAAAGCGUGGGUAGCGAACAGG
rnacentral:rRNA from 1 species